UACGUAGGGUGCGAGCGUUAAUCGGAAUUACUGGGCGUAAAGCGUGCGCAGGCGGUUCGUUGUGUCGGCGGUGAAAGCCCCGGGCUUAACCUGGGAAUUGCGCUUGAUACUCUGAGACUGGAGUACGGGAGAGGAGAGUGGAAUUCCCAGUGUAGAGGUGAAAUUCGUAGAUAUUGGGAAGAACACCAGUGGCGAAGGCGGCUCUCUGGACCGUAACUGACGCUGAGGCGCGAAAGCGUGGGGAGCAAACAGG
rnacentral:rRNA from 1 species